CAUCUUUCUGUGAGGAGUGCAGAGCUGGAGGAUUUCUACGUAUAGUCUGUACUGUAAUGGGGCAAAAAAGGGCUUACCUACCUUGUUGGAAGGCAUGUUUCUGCUCUCCAGAUCGCAUCUUUUACUAGUAUUCCUUUCGCCGUGCUCUUAGCUGACAUUGGAUAAUCCUCUUUUCCAAUCCUGAGCACCCUGAAGAAGCUCUUUUCCGAGCCCAGCAGUAGCCAAGCACAAGCUUCUAGCCCAGGAGGAAGGAGGGCACUGCUGGGAGAUUGCUUGUCCUUUUGAAGAGAGGGAAUGGCUGCAGAUGAAGACAAGUGAGCAGCGUCAGUUUUCUUCCUGCCUCUUUCCCAUGUGAGCGCAGGGCCGCCGAGGGGAGCUGGCAGCCCGUGUGGCUGAGGCAGGCCCAUCAGGGCUCAGCUGCGGGGCGGAGGUGGAAGCACCGCUUCAUUCUGCUUUCAGCAGAGCAGCAAAAAUUGAACAAGAUUUUCUUCGCCACUUUAUUGGUCCAUCUGGACUUGCAAAGGGUUGCCAAACUAACAGAGCUGAUGAAAGGUGCCCGAAUCAUCCUCUCAGAUGAUCCCUGCGGCAGCCCAAGAAGGCAACACGAUGUAAUCUGCAGGCGGUCUCUGUAUUAGAUCCCCAGCGACGUCUGUGCCGCUGCUCGGCGUGUCCCGUGGGGAAUGCGUAGCAUCCAACCGCUGGCAUCCCCUCCUGGCGGAAGCGCUACCAUUGGAAGAGCAGAGGAAAAAGAUCUCCCGCUCGGGAGGCUCGCACAUGCUGCUCGCUGCCUCGGCCGGGUGCUGUGCUGAAGGAGUGGGACAUCUGCGCGGAAGGGAG
ensembl:lncRNA